rnacentral:rRNA from 1 species
UGAAGAAGGCCUUCGGGUUGUAAAACACUUUUGUCCGGAAAGAAAACCUUUGCACUAAUACUGUGAGGGGAUGACGGUACCGGAAGAAUAAGCACCGGCUAACUGCGUGCCAGCAGCCGCGGUAAUACGUAGGGUGCGAGCGUUAAUCGGAAUUACUGGGCGUAAAGCGUGCGCAGGCGGUUCGUUAAGACAGAUGUGAAAUCCCCGGGCUUAACCUGGGAACUGCAUUUGUGACUGGCGAGCUAGAGUAUGGCAGAGGGGGGUAGAAUUCCACGUGUAGCAGUGAAAUGCGUAGAGAUGUGGAGGAAUACCGAUGGCGAAGGCAGCCCCCUGGGCCAAUACUGACGCUCAUGCACGAAAGCGUGGGGAGCAAACAGGAUUAGAUACCCUGGUAGUCCACGCCCUAAACGAUGUCAACUAGUUGUUGGGCCUUCAUUGACUUAGUAACGUAGCUAACGCGUGAAGUUGACCGCCAGGGGAGUACGGUCGCAAGAUUAAAACUCAAAUGAAUUGACGGA